GUAGGGAAUAUUGCUCAAUGGGGGAAACCCUGAAGCAGCAACGCCGCGUGGAGGAUGAAGGUUUUAGGAUUGUAAACUCCUUUUGUAAGAGAAGAUUAUGACGGUAUCUUACGAAUAAGCACCGGCUAACUCCGUGCCAGCAGCCGCGGUAAUACGGAGGGUGCAAGCGUUACUCGGAAUCACUGGGCGUAAAGAGCGCGUAGGCGGGUGGUCAAGUCAGAUGUGAAAUCCUGUAGCUUAACUACAGAACUGCAUUUGAAACUGAUCAUCUAGAGUAUGGGAGAGGUAGGUGGAAUUCUUGGUGUAGGGGUAAAAUCCGUAGAGAUCAAGAGGAAUACUCAUUGCGAAGGCGACCUGCUGGAACAUUACUGACGCUGAUGCGCGAAAGCGUGGGGAGCAAACAGG
rnacentral:rRNA from 1 species